AUUGAACGCUGGCGGCAUGCUUAACACGUGCAAGUCGAACGGUAACAGGCCCUUCGGGGUGCUGACGAGUGGCGGACGGGUGAGUAAUGCUUAGGAAUCUGCCUAGUAGUGGGGGAUAACCCGGGAAACGUCGGGCUAAUACCGCAUACGCCCUACAGGGGAAAGGCGGGGGACUUUCGGGCCUCGCGCUAUUAGAUGAGCCUAAGUCCGAUUAGCUAGUUGGUA
rnacentral:rRNA from 1 species